GCCCGGCGUGAAAGGCAGAGGCUCAACCUCUGGACUGCGUUGGAUACUUCCGUGCUUGAGGACUGGAGGGGAGACUGGAAUUCACGGUGUAGCAGUGAAAUGCGUAGAUAUCGUGAGGAAGACCGGUGGCGAAGGCGAGUCUCUGGACAGAUCCUGACGCUGAGGCACGAAGGCUGGGGGAGCGAACAGGAUUAGAUACCCUGGUAGUCCCAGCAGUAAACGAUGUGAGCUUGAUGUGGGGGGAUUCGACCCCUUCCGUGUCGAAGCUAACGCGAUAAGCUCACCGCCUGAGGAGUACGGCCGCAAGGCUAAAACUCAAAGAAAUUGACGGGGACCCGCACAAGCGGUGGAGUAUGUGGCUUAAUUCGAUGCAACGCGAAGAACCUUACCUGGCCUUGACAUGCAUUGUGUCGUCGGUGAAAGCCGGCUAGUCCUGGAAACAGGACGCUUUGCACAGGUGCUGCAUGGCUGUCGUCAGCUCGUGUCGUGAGAUGUUGGGUUAAGUCCCGCAACGAGCGCAACCCUUGUGGUCAGUUACUAACCGGCUUAGCCGGAGGACUCUGGCCAGACUGCCCUGUCAAACGGGGAGGAAGGUGGGGACGACGUCAAGUCAGUAUGGCCCUUAUGGCCAGGGCUGCACACGUACUACAAUGCCCGGUACAAUGUGAACCGAAACCGCGAGGUGGAGGAAAUCGCUCUUGAAAACCGGGCCCAGUUCGGAUUGGAGUCUGCAACUCGACUCCAUGAAGUCGGAAUCGCUAGUAAU
rnacentral:rRNA from 1 species